GGGGGCGCAUUUGGCUUCGACGGGCAAUUAAAGAACAUUCAGUGGCAUGCCGAGGAUCUAUGGUUACCUCGAAAAUCAUCCACAGAAAAAACAUAAAUGCCGAUUACGGCUACGCUGCCGCUGCUUAAUAGCUAGUGGCUAUCUCUUAGCCGACUUGUCUGGAGUUAGCUUAUGAGGUAUCAUUAAAUCAGACUAGUCUUUUCUUUCUGCCUGUGAAAUUAAGACGAAACUUGUUCAUUUAGGUGGACAUACAGGCUUGUUGCUUUAAAGUUUGAUUGUUUUAUUUAAGGCAAUGAAAUUACAAAUCAAUCUACGCAUGUAGAAGCUGUUUGUACUUUUUGUUCGGACGUGGGUUCGAUCCCCACCGCCUCCACAA
rnacentral:tmRNA from 1 species